rnacentral:snoRNA from 13 species
UGCCAUGGUUUCAUAGUCGAAAGUUGAGUUCACUCCAUCUCUCUUAUCCUUUUGGAUCUUCAAAAUAUAGGCAUCCACAAAAUCGUUUCCCCCAUCCUCGAUAACA